AUUGAACGCUGGCGGCAGGCCUAACACAUGCAAGUCGAGCGGAUGAAGGGAGCUUGCUCCUGGAUUCAGCGGCGGACGGGUGAGUAAUGCCUAGGAAUCUGCCUGGUAGUGGGGGAUAACGUCCGGAAACGGGCGCUAAUACCGCAUACGUCCUGAGGGAGAAAGUGGGGGAUCUUCGGACCUCACGCUAUCAGAUGUGCCUAGGUCGGAUUAGCUAGUUGGUGGGGUAAAGGCCUGCCAAGGCGACGAUCCGUAACUGGUCUGAGAGGAUGAUCAGUCACACUGGAACUGAGACACGGUCCAGACUCCUACGGGAGGCAGCAGUGGGGAAUAUUGGACAAUGGGCGAAAGCCUGAUCCAGCCAUGCCGCGUGUGUGAAGAAGGUCUUCGGAUUGUAAAGCACUUUAAGUUGGGAGGAAGGGCAGUAAGUUAAUACCUUGCUGUUUUGACGUUACCAACAGAAUAAGCACCGGCUAACUUCGUG
rnacentral:rRNA from 1 species